CAAAAUGGAGCUUGAUGAUAAGCAAUUCACUUACAAUGAAAAGAUCUCUUUCGCCAGGGUGUUUUGA
rnacentral:tRNA from 1 species